rnacentral:pre_miRNA from 1 species
AAUGAGAUAGUUGGCUCAAAUGGUGGUUCUAUUCCAAGUUUUCUAGGGAAUCCCCAUAUUUCUUUCCAAAGUGGUGAUACCAUUUUGCAGUGCCACCAGCAGU